rnacentral:rRNA from 1 species
AUACGUAGGGGGCAAGCGUUAUCCGGAUUUACUGGGUGUAAAGGGAGCGUAGACGGAAGGCCAAGUCUGCAGUGAAAGCCCGGGGCUCAACCCCGGAACUGCUUUGGAAACUGUAUGUCUAGAGUGCAGGAGAGGUAAGUGGAAUUCCUAGUGUAGCGGUGAAAUGCGUAGAUAUUAGGAGGAACACCAGUGGCGAAGGCGGCUUACUGGACUGUAACUGACGUUGAGGCUCGAAGGCGUGGGGAGCAAACAGGAUUAGAUACCCUGGUAGUCCACGCGGUAAACGAUGAAUACUAGGUGUCGGGAGAGAAACUCUUUCGGUGCCGCAGCAAACGCAAUAAGUAUUCCACCUGGGGAGUACGUUCGCAAGAAUGAAACUCAAAUGAAUUGACGGGG